GACGAACGCUGGCGGCGUGCCUAAUACAUGCAAGUCGAGCGGACUGAAUGGGAGCUUGCUCUUGUUCGGUCAGCGGCGGACGGGUGAGUAACACGUGGGCAACCUGCCCGCAAGACCGGGAUAACUCCGGGAAACCGGAGCUAAUACCGGAUAACACCGAAGACCGCAUGGUCUUUGGUUGAAAGGCGGCGCAAGCUGCCACUUGAGGAUGGGCCCGCGGCGCAUUAGCUAGUUGGUGAGGUAACGGCUCACCAAGGCGACGAUGCGUAGCCGGCCUGAGAGGGUGACCGGCCACACUGGGACUGAGACACGGCCCAGACUCCUACGGGAGGCAGCAGUAGGGAAUCUUCCGCAAUGGGCGAAAGCCUGACGGAGCGACGCCGCGGGAGCGAAGAAGGCCUUCGGGUCGUAAAGCUCUGUUGUGAGGGACGAAGGAGCGCCGUUUGAAGAAGGCGGCGCGGUGACGGUACCUCACGAGGAAGCCCCGGCUAACUACGUG
rnacentral:rRNA from 1 species